AGUGAACGCUGGCGGUAGGCCUAACACAUGCAAGUCGAACGGCAGCACAGUAAGAGCUUGCUCUUACGGGUGGCGAGUGGCGGACGGGUGAGGAAUACAUCGGAAUCUACUUUUUCGUGGGGGAUAACGUAGGGAAACUUACGCUAAUACCGCAUACGGCCUACGGGUGAAAGCAGGGGAUCUUCGGACCUUGCGCGAUUGAAUGAGCCGAUGUCGGAUUAGCUAGUUGGCGGGGUAAAGGCCCACCAAGGCGACGAUCCGUAGCUGGUAUGAGAGGAUGAUCAGCCACACUGGAACUGAGACACGGUCCAGACUCCUACGGGAGGCAGCAGUGGGGAAUAUUGGAUAAUGGGCGCAAGCCUGAUCCAGCCAUACCGCGUGGGUGAAGAAGGCCUUCGGGUUGUAAAGCCCUUUUGUUGGGAAAGAAAAGCAGCAGGUUAAUACCCCGCUGUUCUGACGGUACCCAAAGAAUAAGCACCGGCUAACUUCGUG
rnacentral:rRNA from 1 species